UACGGAGGGUGCGAGCGUUGUCCGGAAUCACUGGGCGUAAAGGGCGCGUAGGUGGCUGGGGAAGUCGGCGGUGAAAGCCCGGAGCUCAACUCCGGGUCGGCCGUCGAGACUCCUCGGCUCGAGCUCACUAGAGGCAGAUGGAAUUCCGGGUGUAGCGGUGGAAUGCGUAGAGAUCCGGAAGAACACCGGUGGCGAAGGCGGUCUGCUGGGGUGAGGCUGACACUGAGGCGCGACAGCGUGGGGAGCAAACAGGAUUAGAUACCCUGGUAGUCCACGCCGUAAACGAUGGGCACUAGGUGCUUGGGGGAGCGACCCCCUGAGUGCCGACGCUAACGCAUUAAGUGCCCCGCCUGGGGAGUACGGCCGCAAGGCUGAA
rnacentral:rRNA from 1 species